UACGUAGGCAGCAAGCGUUGUUCGGAGUUACUGGGCGUAAAGGGUGCGCAGGCGGUCCUGUAAGUCUGGUGUGAAAUCUCCCGGCUCAACUGGGAGGGUGCGCUAUAAACUGCGGGACUAGAGUGUGGGAGAGGAAAGUGGAAUUCCUGGUGUAGCGGUGAAAUGCGUAGAUAUCAGGAGGAACACCGGUGGUGUAAACGGCUUUCUGGACCAUAACUGACGCUGAGGCACGAAAGCGUGGGUAGCAAACAGG
rnacentral:rRNA from 1 species